ACCCGAUAGGGACAAACGGUGAUUCAAGGCCGAGAGGUGAUGAGGUCGUCUCUUCGAGACGGACACUCAGUGAUCCCACACUUCCAAGAAAAGCUGCGCGCGGAGUCCCUCUAGUGAUCGUACUCCAAACCGACUCAGGUGGGCGGGGUGAAUAUCCCAAGGCGCGUGAGAGAACUCUGGUUAAGGAACUCGGCAAAUUUGCACCGUAACUUCGGGAGAAGGUGUGCCCCUACGGGUGAAGAGCUUGCGCUCGGAGCCUGGGGGGGUCGCAGUGAAAUGGCGGUUGUUGACUGUUUACUAAAAACACAGGACUCUGCGAAGUCGUAAGACGACGUAUAGGGUCUGAUGCCUGCCCGGUGCUGGAAGGUUAAGGGGAUCUGUUAGGGGCAACCCGAAGCUUUGAACCGAAGCCCCAGUAAACGGCGGCCGUAACAAUAACGGUCCUAAGGUAGCGAAAUUCCUUGUCGGGUAAGUUCCGACCUGCACGAAUGGCAUAACAACAUCCGCACUGUCUCGACCAGAGACUCAGCGAAAUUGCAUCGGGGGUGAAGAUGCCCUCUACCCGCGACAAGACGGAAAGACCCCAUGAACCUUCACUGUAACUUGGCAGUGAAUUUCGGAUUAUUCUGCGUAGGAUAGGUGGGAGGCGUUGAUAUCGGGUUUCCGGAUUCGAUGGAGCCAACCUUGAAAUACCACCCUGGAUAAUCUGGAAUUCUAACCUACACCCGUAAUCCGGGUGAGGGACACUGUCUGGCGCAGUUUGACUGGGGCGGUCACCUCCCAAAAUGUAACGGAGGUGCGCGAAGGUCCCCUCAGGCUGAUUGGAAACCAGCCGUAGAGUGUAAACGCAUAAGGGGGCUUUACUGUAAGACCGACAGGUCGAGCAGUUGCGAAAGCAGGCGUUAGUGAUCCGGUGGUACCGCAUGGAAGGGCCAUCGCUCAACGGAUAAAAGGUACUCUGGGGAUAACAGGCUGAUCGUGCCUGAGAGUUCACAUCGGCGGCACGGUUUGGCACCUCGAUGUCGGCUCGUCGCAUCCUGGGGCUGGAGCAGGUCCCAAGGGUUUGGCUGUUCGCCAAUUAAAGCGGCACGCGAGCUGGGUUUAAAACGUCGUGAGACAGUUUGGUUCCUAUCUGUCGUGGGCGUAGGACACUUGAGAGGAUCUGCCUUUAGUACGAGAGGACCAGGGUGGACGUACCUCUGGUGCGCCGGUUGUCACGCCAGUGGCAUAGCCGGGUAGCCAAGUACGGAAUGGAUAACCGCUGAAAGCAUAUAAGCGGGAAGCCAGCCUCAAGAUUAGGUGUCCCUGCCGAAAGGCACUCAAGGCCACUUGUAGACUACAAGGUGAUAGGCCGGGUGUGGAAGCACAGCAAUGUGCGGAGCUAACCGGUACUAAUAGGCCCGUGAGGCUUAACCUC
rnacentral:rRNA from 1 species